rnacentral:tRNA from 1 species
AGAACUGUGCCCGAGUGCUCAGGGACCACUUUGAUAGGGUGGCUUACAGGGGUUAAAAUCCCCUCCGUUCUU